ACUCCUACGGGAGGCAGCAGUAGGGAAUCUUCCGCAAUGGACGAAAGUCUGACGGAGCAACGCCGCGUGAGUGAUGAAGGUUUUCGGAUCGUAAAACUCUGUUGUUAGGGAAGAACACCCGGGAGAGGAUCCCGGCUUGACGGUACCUAACGAGAAAGCCCCGGCUAACUACGUGCCAGCAGCCGCGGUAAU
rnacentral:rRNA from 1 species